GCGUGAGUGAUGAAGGCCUUCGGGUUGUAAAGCUCUUUCGGUGGGGACGAUGAUGACGGUACCCACAGAAGAAGCCCCGGCUAACUUCGUGCCAGCAGCCGCGGUAAUACGAAGGGGGCGAGCGUUGUUCGGAAUUACUGGGCGUAAAGGGCGCGUAGGCGGUUUGUUAAGUUAGGCGUGAAAGGCCCGGGCUCAACCUGGGGAGUGCGCUUAAGACUGGCAGGCUGGGAUGCGAGAGAGGAUGGCGGAAUUCCCAGUGUAGAGGUGAAAUUCGU
rnacentral:rRNA from 1 species